rnacentral:rRNA from 1 species
AUGGCUUUACUUGCCAAACAAUGUUGGAGACUUUUGGCAGAGCUAGAUUCUUUAUGUGCAAGAGUUCUUAAGGCAAAAUACUUUGCUGAUGGUGACCUCCUAAAUUGUCCUCUCAAAAAAGGUAGUUCCUAUACGUGGCAAAGUUUGUGGAGUGGUAUUCAAAGUUUCAAGAGAGGCCUUAUUUGGAGAGUAGGGGAUGGCACACAUAUUAGCAUAUGGGAUGAUCCCUGGGUUCCUAGUAGCCCAAGCAGGAAGGUGAUGACCCCCAGAGGUAAUAUAGUCAUUACUAGGGUCUCUGAGUUAAUCAAUAUAGAUGAAAGACAGUGGGAUGAGCAGCUCAUCAGAGAUAUUUUUUGGCCUAUUGACGCGCAAAGAAUUCUAAACAUUCCCUUAGCUAUGGGGAUGAUGGAGGAUUUUGUUUCAUGGCACUAUGAAAGAAGCGGGAUUUUUUCAGUUAGAACU